UGAGGAAUAUUGGUCAAUGGGCGCAGGCCUGAACCAGCCAAGUAGCGUGAAGGAUGACUGCCCUAUGGGUUGUAAACUUCUUUUAUAUGGGAAUAAAGUUUUCCACGUGUGGAAUUUUGUAUGUACCAUAUGAAUAAGGAUCGGCUAACUCCGUGCCAGCAGCCGCGGUAAUACGGAGGAUCCGAGCGUUAUCCGGAUUUAUUGGGUUUAAAGGGAGCGUAGGUGGACAGUUAAGUCAGUUGUGAAAGUUUGCGGCUCAACCGUAAAAUUGCAGUUGAUACUGGCUGUCUUGAGUACAGUAGAGGUGGGCGGAAUUCGUGGUGUAGCGGUGAAAUGCUUAGAUAUCACGAAGAACUCCGAUUGCGAAGGCAGCUCACUGGACUGCAACUGACACUGAUGCUCGAAAGUGUGGGUAUCAAACAGGAUUAGAUACCCUGGUAGUCCACACAGUAAACGAUGAAUACUCGCUGUUUGCGAUAUACAGUAAGCGGCCAAGCGAAAGCAUUAAGUAUUCCACCUGGGGAGUACGCCGGCAACGGUGAAACUCAAAGGAAUUGACGGGGGCCCGCACAAGCGGAGGAACAUGUGGUUUAAUUCGAUGAUACGCGAGGAACCUUACCCGGGCUUAAAUUGCAUUUGAAUAUAUUGGAAACAGUAUAGCCGUAAGGCAAAUGUGAAGGUGCUGCAUGGUUGUCGUCAGCUCGUGCCGUGAGGUGUCGGCUUAAGUGCCAUAACGAGCGCAACCCUUAUCUUUAGUUACUAACAGGUCAUGCUGAGGACUCUAGAGAGACUGCCGUCGUAAGAUGUGAGGAAGGUGGGGAUGACGUCAAAUCAGCACGGCCCUUACGUCCGGGGCUACACACGUGUUACAAUGGGGGGUACAGAAGGCAGCUACCUGGUGACAGGAUGCUAAUCCCAAAAGCCUCUCUCAGUUCGGAUCGAAGUCUGCAACCCGACUUCGUGAAGCUGGAUUCGCUAGUAAUCGCGCAUCAGCCAUGGCGCGGUGAAUACGUUCCC
rnacentral:rRNA from 2 species